GUGACCUCAAAUCAGGUAGGACUACCCGCUGAACUUAAGCAUAUCAAUAAGCGGAGGAAAAGAAACUAACAAGGAUUCCCCUAGUAACUGCGAGUGAAGCGGGAAAAGCUCAAAUUUAAAAUCUGGCGGUCUUUUGGCUGUCCGAGUUGUAAUCUAGAGAAGUGUUAUCCGCGCUGGACCGUGUACAAGUUUCCUGGAAUGGAGCAUCAUAGAGGGUGAGAAUCCCGUCUUUGACAUGGACAACCAGGGCUUUGUGAUGCGCUCUCAAAGAGUCGAGUUGUUU
rnacentral:rRNA from 1 species